rnacentral:rRNA from 1 species
CGCAUCUGUGAUGCAGCAUAUCAAUAAGCGGAGGAAAAGAAACUAACAAGGAUUCCCUUAGUAACGGCGAGUGAAGCGGGAAGAGCUCAAAUUUGAAAUCUUCAAGGUUUUACCUUGACGAAUUGUAGUUUAAAGAAGUGUUUUCUGUUGAAGUUUUGGUAAAAGUUCUUUGGAAUAGGACAUCAUAGAGGGUGAGAAUCCCGUAUUUGACCAUUAUUUUCAGCUGUGUGAUACACUUUCAAAGAGUCGGAUUGUUUGGGAAUGCAGUCCAAAAUGGGUGGUAAAUUUCAUCUAAAGCUAAAUAUUGGCGAGAGACCGAUAGCGAACAAGUACCGUGAGGGAAAGAUGAAAAGAACUUUGAAAAGAGAGUUAAACUAGUACGUGAAAUUGUCAAAAGGGAAGCGUUUGACACCAGUGUUGUUUUCUCGAAAAUCAAUUAAAAAGAGUUAGAUUUUGUUGCGUAUUGACCUUAACAGCUUGCAUUUCAAUUUUCUUGCUUUUUUUAAUGCACUUUUCGUUUAACAAGUCAACAUCAGUUUCUUUUGUUGUAAAAAGGUCAUUGGAAGGUGGCUUUCUUUUCGGAGAAAGUGUUUAUAGCCUUUGACUCCUGCAAUCGGAGAGAUUGAGGUCUGCAGCGUAGAUCCUUCGGGGCUAGAUACAUUUGUGCUAAGUUAUAGCAUUUUAUAGACAACUUGUUGACUAUGAUUUAGUCUUGUAGCAUACUCGCUUAUGUUAUUUUACCUACGCUUAGGAUGUUGAUCUCUCACAGUCGAGC